rnacentral:rRNA from 1 species
AGAGUUUGAUCCUGGCUCAGGAUGAACGCUAGCUACAGGCUUAACACAUGCAAGUCGAGGGGCAGCAUGGUCUUAGCUUGCUAAGGCCGAUGGCGACCGGCGCACGGGUGAGUAACGCGUAUCCAACCUGCCUUACACUCUUGGACAGCCUUCUGAAAGGGAGAUUAAUACAAGAUGUUAUCAUGAGUAAGCAUUUUCGCAUGAUUAAAGGUUUACCGGUGUAAGAUGGGGAUGCGUUCCAUUAGAUAGUAGGCGGGGUAACGGCCCACCAAGCCUUCGAUGGAUAGGGGUUCUGAGAGGAAGGUCCCCCACAUUGGAACUGAGACACGGUCCAAACUCCUACGGGAGGCAGCAGUGAGGAAUAUUGGUCAAUGGACGAGAGUCUGAACCAGCCAAGUAGCGUGAAGGAUGACUGCCCUAUGGGUUGUAAACUUCUUUUAUAAAGGAAUAAAGUCGGGUAUGCAUACCCGUUUGCAUGUACUUUAUGAAUAAGGAUCGGCUAACUCCGUGCCAGCAGCCGCGGUAAUACGGAGGAUCCGAGCGUUAUCCGGAUUUAUUGGGUUUAAAGGGAGCGUAGGCGGGUUGUUAAGUCAGUUGUGAAAGUUUGCGGCUCAACCGUAAAAUUGCAGUUGAUACUGGCGACCUUGAGUGCAACAGAGGUAGGCGGAAUUCGUGGUGUAGCGGUGAAAUGCUUAGAUAUCACGAAGAACUCCGAUUGCGAAGGCAGCUUACUGGAUUGUAACUGACGCUGAUGCUCGAAAGUGUGGGUAUCAAACAGGAUUAGAUACCCUGGUAGUCCACACAGUAAACGAUGAAUACUCGCUGUUGGCGAUAUACAGUCAGCGGCCAAGCGAAAGCAUUAAGUAUUCCACCUGGGGAGUACGCCGGCAACGGUGAAACUCAAAGGAAUUGACGGGGGCCCGCACAAGCGGAGGAACAUGUGGUUUAAUUCGAUGAUACGCGAGGAACCUUACCCGGGCUUAAAUUGCAACUGACUGAACCGGAAACGGUUCUUUCUUCGGACAGUUGUGAAGGUGCUGCAUGGUUGUCGUCAGCUCGUGCCGUGAGGUGUCGGCUUAAGUGCCAUAACGAGCGCAACCCUUAUCGAUAGUUACUAGCAGGUCAUGCUGAGGACUCUAUUGAGACUGCCGUCGUAAGAUGUGAGGAAGGUGGGGAUGACGUCAAAUCAGCACGGCCCUUACGUCCGGGGCUACACACGUGUUACAAUGGGGGGUACAGAAGGCAGCUACACGGCGACGUGGUGCUAAUCCCGAAAGCCUCUCUCAGUUCGGAUUGGAGUCUGCAACCCGACUCCAUGAAGCUGGAUUCGCUAGUAAUCGCGCAUCAGCCACGGCGCGGUGAAUACGUUCCCGGGCCUUGCACUCACAGCCCGUCAAG